CCCGGCCAUGUGUCGGAGGGUUGAGCGAUGUGGAGUUGGAACUCAAAGACUGGAGUAGGAACAAUCCUCAACAAGGCGUCAAUACGCCAAGAAAGUGUUCGCGGGCAUUGUUUUGUUGCAUAACAACAGGUUCCGUAUUAUGAACCAGUUAUGGUUCGCGCCGUUGCGAGUGGAAGUCAUUUCAAGCGAAUGGUCGCGAUUCUGCAUUUUUGCGCAUUGCUUGAUUUGGUCAUUUCCCGCGGCAUUCGAAACCUCAUACGCAAACUGGCGGGUCG
rnacentral:lncRNA from 1 species